rnacentral:rRNA from 1 species
CCUGGCGGCCUUAGCGCGGUGGUCCCACCUGACCCCAUGCCGAACUCAGAAGUGAAACGCCGUAGCGCCGAUGGUAGUGUGGGGUCUCC